GGAGCAGCUCGUUGCUUUCCAAAUGUGUGUAUACAGCAAAUGAAUGAAUAAUAGAGGAGAAAAGAUAGUCAAUCUCCUGCCCCAGCAGCUGUAGAAGGACUGAUUUGAGGAAACGCAUGUUCAAGAGAUGAGAAUCCUAGGGAGGUGUCAAAACACCUGUGGGUGGGAUGCUCUGCCGAACAGGCACAGGAAGGAUUGAUAAAGUUGUUCUAACUACUGUAAAUUCAUUUGAAGCACAGAGAAAAUUCCAGACUUCCAAAGGGGAAGACUCCUGCAGGGAACCAAGCCAAACUGGCCCUGCUGAAAGAGCUGUAGCAAAAAAACGGGCCCUGAAGCCCAGAAAUCCAGUCUGGGAGUGACUCCAAGGCCUAUCACAAGCAGGGGUAUAUUCACAAGGCACAACAGGCUCUGAUCUGUGACAACUAAAUUAAAGAUAGUAUUUUUUUUUGUUUGUUUUCCAUUUAAAUUUAAAAACUACUGAGCUCUUCAAGUUUGUUAUAUGCAUUAAAACUCACUUCUAACUCAUCUUGAUCUACAAUAAGGAACUGGCAGUUCCCUAAAUUCCCCUGUUUUCUCAACAACCCUGUACAGGGUGACAUUCCGGAGGCUGUGCAUCUAAGUGUGUAGCACAGACCUUGCAUCCUGGGGAAAGAGGAGCAUUAAGGUGGCCAGGGCCAUCCUUAGGAUUUAUGGCACCACAGGCGGGAUUAUUAAACUGGUGCCCCUAUGCCUGGCGUGCUCUUAGCAACACAAACAUAAGCUUACAGUAUUGGAAAACUUGCCACAUGCAUUUUAUUAAAAACAGUUUAACUUAAUUAAGCACACUGUAAUGCUGAUGGACUAGCACUAAAGAAGUAGUGCUAUAGGAAAAAAUUCUGAUUUAUUGAUCGAAUGAUACAAAUAAUAUAAUUUUUUAAAUGUCAACAUUUUAUUGGAAAUUUCUAAGAGGUAUUGAAACAAGGAUUUGUUUUUAAUUAAAAGUGAUCUUUCUGGCUUUUUUGGCUGUAAAAUCAUUAAUAAUGUCAUCAUAUGAUAAAGACAAAAUGAUGUCUUGUUCGAUUGCAAGAGUAGCAAGACCAGUCAAUCAUUCCAGACUCAUUGUAGAAUGGAGAUGGUUUUUAAUGAGCUUUAGUUUUGGAAAACUCUAUUCUCCUGAUGCGACUGUUACAGGAAUUGUCAGUAGAAUACGAGUGGCAAUGUACACAUUAGGAUAUAUGUCAACAAGUUUGCUGAUAUGAAUAAACUGUACAAUGUCCAUCACCAAUUUUGCAUGUGACAACAUUGAUGACAAUGUACUCAGUUCUUUGUACAGUUGAAGUUGGUUUAAAUCAAAACUAUCACCGUGCUUCAGGAGGCUCUCUAGGUUCUUGUACUUCGUGAUUUGCUGCUCUUGUUUUCCUAUUUUGUUGAAUUUAGUUAUGUCCUACAAAAAUCCAAACUGUUCAUGGUGUGCUCGUAAGGUAUUAAACCUUUCAUCAAUGGCAGAUGUUGCUUUAUCCAUCACAACAUUAAAAAAUUCAACCUCAAAUUUCUUUUCUGGAUCAUCUAUGGGCUCAUCUGCCCCUUCAUAUUCCACUUGCCAUUUUUUCCUUGAAACUCGUGUCAUGUUCGGACAUGGAAAUUUUGGUUCUACA